CCGAACCAUUUUCAUAACCAUAGCAGUCCACAAUUUGCACUAAAUCACACCUUUACAUUUUACAACUUUUUACAAACUAGUCCUUUUAUGCAAUUUCAUCAAAAAUAACUUAGUAAAAGUUGUUUAUCACACUCCAAACAUUCAUAUUCUUCCACAAAACAUCAAAAUACAUGCAUUUUAUCCAUGGGUAAAAUUUUAAAUAUAAACCCUAGCUCAAAAU
rnacentral:lncRNA from 1 species